AGAGUUUGAUCCUGGCUCAGGAUGAANCGCUAGCGGCAGGCCUAACACAUGCAAGUCGAGGGGCAGCACGUCUUCGGAUGGUGGCGACCGGCGCACGGGUGCGUAACGCGUAUGCAACCUACCUCUUACAGUGGGAUAGCCCAGAGAAAUUUGGAUUAAUACCGCAUAGGAUACUGGACCAGCAUUGGUCCUGUAUUAAACAUUCAUGGGUAAGAGAUGGGCAUGCGUUCUAUUAGUUAGUUGGAGUGGUAACGGCACCCCAAGACAGCGAUAGAUAGGGGCCCUGAGAGGGGGAUCCCCCACACUGGUACUGAGACACGGACCAGACUCCUACGGGAGGCAGCAGUGAGGAAUAUUGGACAAUGGGCGAGGGCCUGAUCCAGCCAUGCCGCGUGCAGGAAGACGGCCCUAUGGGUUGUAAACUGCUUUUGUACGGGAAGAAACACCCCCUCGUGAGGGGGCUUGACGGUACCGUAAGAAUAAGGAUCGGCUAACUCCGUGCCAGCAGCCGCGGUAAUACGGAGGAUCCAAGCGUUAUCCGGAAUCAUUGGGUUUAAAGGGUCCGUAGGUGGGCCGUUAAGUCAGAGGUGAAAUCCUGCAGCUCAACUGUAGAAUUGCCUUUGAUACUGGCGGUCUUGAAUCAUUGUGAAGUGGUUAGAAUAUGUGGUGUAGCGGUGAAAUGCAUAGAUAUCACAUAGAAUACCGAUUGCGAAGGCAGAUCACUAACAAUGCAUUGACACUGAUGGACGAAAGCGUGGGGAGCGAACAGGAUUAGAUACCCUGGUAGUCCACGCCGUAAACGAUGGAUACUGGCUGUCCGGACUUCGGUUCUGGGUGGCUAAGCGAAAGUGAUAAGUUUCCCCCCUGG
rnacentral:rRNA from 1 species